rnacentral:rRNA from 1 species
GGCAGAGGAUGCAAGCGUUAUCCGGAAUGAUUGGGCGUAAAGCGUCUGUAGGUGGCUUUUCAAGUCCGCCGUCAAAUCCCAGGGCUCAACCCUGGACAGGCGGUGGAAACUGCCAAGCUGGAGUACGGUAGGGGCAGAGGGAAUUUCCGGUGGAGCGGUGAAAUGCGUAGAGAUCGGGAAGAACAUCAGUGGCGAAGGCGGUCUGCUGGGCCGUUGCUGACGCUGAGGCGCGACAGCGUGGGGAGCAAACAGG